ensembl:lncRNA
UUGGCAAUGCCUGAGGGUGCUGCUGGCAUCAAGUGGGUAAGAGCCAGCAAAGACAGUGGUCACCCUACAAUGCACAGAACAGCCCCCGCAACACAGAAUCAUGUGUCUCAAGGCAUCAGUGGUGCCGAGGCGAGAAAUCCUGACUGAGCUAGCCUCUGCCCUGCAUCCAUAGCACUGGCCACAGGGCCGCUCAGUGCCCACACAGAGCUCUAGGGGUCUCCCUUUUUUAUUUUUUUAUAAAUUAAAUUUUGUUUUGGACUCAACUUUACAACAGCAACAAGAACAAAAACCUCAAUGGCAAUUAUUUAUUUCAUUCUUAAUUCAUUUCUGGUAUGAUCUGUGUCCCUUAAAUGAAAUACGUUUUCAUUUAAUUACAAGUGAUAUAUUGAUUCAGUUGGAGUCUUCCUUUACUGUCACUUAUUAUUUCAUGUGUAAAAUCUCAUGUAUGAAUGCAGUUCAUAGUGGCCACGCUGAACCUCUCAGUGUACCUGCAUAUCGUGGUUUGCUAAGGAUUGUUUUAAAUGUCCUCCUCUUAUAGGGAGAAACUUCAGUGAACACUGUUGCACAAAAUUUUCACACCUUUGUCUUCACUCCUUGGGUAGAAUUGCUGGGUCAAAGUAUUAUGGUUAUUGCAUGACUGUCCCCCCCAAAAAAGCUACACUGAUUUGUAAUAGUGCCAGACACUGCUGUACACUGGAUUUUGUCGAUUUACUGGGUAUAGUCAAUGAAACUUCAUAGUUAUUUGUCUUGCUUAAAUCAUUGUGAAGCUAAACUUUUCCCGUUUAUAUUUUACAGCCCACAGACAUGUGGGACCCUAUCCACAUGUCUGAUAGCACCCACAUGGGGGCUUAUGGUUGAAAUGGCUCAUUAUGUUGACCUCACAAACAAAGAAUAAAAUCACAGUGAUCCUUGAGACUGACCAAAUUGCCCAAAUGACAUUCUAUUUUCCUGCUGGCCCCUACUUUCUCAAGGCUACGAGACCACUGGAUUUCAGACCUCCAGCUACAUGUCAGCAGGACUCAGCUACAGGCUAAAAAUUCCUUCAGAGAAUUUUUCAUUGGCAGGGUAUAAGAAAGACCCCAUCAGGGGAGGACACUGAUUCUCCUUAAAAGAAAGACCCCAUCAGAAAGGGAGGACACUGAUUCUCCUUAAGGGCCAGUCAUCCUCUUGUUUUCCCUCUAAUAAAUUUCUUUUUAUUGCCUGACUGCCCAGCUUGCUCUCUUCUUCUCCACACUUUCCUUACAAUGUCCAUCUGUUGACAUUAAAAAAAUUUUCUAAGCUCCCGAGGGCAUUGAGAGACCAGCUGAGCUUCUACCAACUAGAGGCGCUCAGCAGGAGUUUAGAACAAUUGAUGGACUUUAUCCUUCAGUUGACUAUUUAAAAAUAUGGGUUGUGUGGGGCAUUUUAAAAGAGAAAUUUCACGCUAAUGUAUUUUGCUAAUUGUUUUAUGUAGAUGCUAAUUAGCAACAAGGCCUAAUUGUAAUCAAAGUAUGUGGCAUUACCAUGCCGUGUGCUCUUGUUGGGGAUGCCCCCUUGCUGCUGAGAAAGGGGAGUGACUCCUGCAGGAGAGCAGACAGCCAGCCCAUAGGGAGCCACGUGGUGGUGGGGGCGGGGGCAGGUCCAGGUCCUGCCAAGCUUGGGGGGUGAAAUGCCAGCAAGAUAUCCCGAGGCCUGGACUUAGAGGAAGAAAUCAAGACGUGCAUACCGGAAUGCUGAUGUCAGGGAGGAACGCUGACCCCCUGAACCAGAGAAGCGCUCUUUGUGGGCUCUGCCUGUCGUCUUUUCCAUGGAUUAUUCGUAUGUCGAUGUAACACGUAAUGCAUGUGCAUGAAAGUUCAUGUGUGUGAAAACACGGUUAUUGUAAUGAGAAUAGCCUUCAGAUGCUUUAUUGUAAGUGCGUUUAUAUUUUGAUUUUUCAAAUAAUAAAGCAGUAACACC